rnacentral:snRNA from 1 species
UAAUGACAACAAAAUCAACAACAUCUGUCACCCCAUUAAUUGCUAGGGUUGAGUCAGCUCAUCUGGCAAGCUAGGCAGGUGUGUCCUUCCUCCCCAACCACUUCAUGUGCAUCCUCCCGAAGUUGUAGGCUUGGUCAAAGUGGACCUUCCCAGAAAGAGAAGGACCAGUCUUAGGUCAAGGGUAUGCAAUUAACUGCACUCCCCUGAUAGAACCUCAAAACAUACUCUCAAGGUUCUGCAACUCUUGCCUCUGAUUUGUUGUAGAAGGUUAGAAGGUGUCAUCCCAACAAACCCCGGAGCUAAUUGGAAAAAGCCUAACUUAUGC